UACGGGGGGUGCGAGCGUUGUCCGGAAUCACUGGGCGUAAAGGGCGCGUAGGUGGUUUGAUAAGGGUGUGGUGAAAGCCCGGGGCUCAACCCCGGGUCUGCCGUGCCGACUGUCAAACUCGAGGGCUGUAGAGGCAGACGGAAUUCCGGGUGUAGCGGCGGAAUGCGUAGAGAUCCGGAGGAAGACCGGUGGCGAAGGCGGUCUGCUGGGCAGUUUCUGACACUGAUGCGCGACAGCGUGGGGAGCAAACAGG
rnacentral:rRNA from 1 species